rnacentral:ncRNA from 1 species
CACGACCGGUCGGACACGCGUGCCAUCCAGCAGGCGGACCCGGCCCACAAGUGGAGGCUCCGAACUCCCACCCGAUCGUCCCUCGAGGACGGCGGGUCACCCCGGUCAGGCGGUCACCAUCGUUCCGUACGGACGAUGGAAUCGCCCGGUAGUGCGCCCCGCGAUCCUCGCGGCGGUGCUCCGGUAGUGCUUGGAGCCCCGCAUGUGAUCGUUCGGGGCAUUUUUU